CCUACGGGUGGCAGCAGUGGGGAAUAUUGGACAAUGGGCGAAAGCCUGAUCCAGCAAUGCCGCGUGUGUGAAGAAGGUCUUCGGAUUGUAAAGCACUUUCGACGGGGACGAUGAUGACGGUACCCGUAGAAGAAGCCCCGGCUAACUUCGUGCCAGCAGCCGCGGUAAUACGAAGGGGGGGGCAAGUGUUCUUCGGAAUGACUGGGCGUAAAGGGCACGUAGGCGGUGAAUCGGGUUGAAAGUGAAAGUCGCCAAAAACUGGCGGAAGACUCUCGAAACCAAUUCACUUGAGUGAGACAGAGGAGAGUGGAAUUUCGUGUGUAGGGGUGAAAUCCGGAGAUCUACGAAGGAACGCCAAAAGCGAAGGCAGCUCUCUGGGUCCCUACCGACGCUGGAGUGCGAAAGCAUGGGGAGCGAACGGGAUUAGAUACCCCAGUAGUC
rnacentral:rRNA from 1 species